UUCAGUUACUUUUUUUUUCUUCUUCUUCCUCUGUUAUUAGGGUUUUCAAUUCUCCAAAAAUUUCUACAUUCUAUUUUUUUGUUUCAUUUCUUCAUCUUCAUUUACGUUUAUAUAAUCAGAAUUGCUUCGUCUUCUUCUGUUAUAUUGCAGGCAGGUUUUUAAAAUUUUUCUGAAAGUUCAAGAAAACGUUGCAGGUUUUUAGCUGAUGAAAAUUUAGGGUUUAUUUGUUACUGAUGGCUGAUAGUAGACGAUACCUUUCCAAUCAACCUCUUGACUUACAGCAGAUAUUAGAGGAAGCCAAAUGCCGAUGGCUUCGGCCUAACGAAAUCCUGGAAAUACUAAGCAACUAUCAAAGGUUUAUGCUAACUCCAGAGCAACCUGUUAGGCCUCCAGCUGGUUCUUUGUUCCUGUUUGAUAGAAAAAAACUGCGAUAUUUUCGCAAAGAUGGCCACCAAUGGAGGAAGAAAACUGACGGAAAAACUGUCAAAGAAGCUCAUGAAAAGUUGAAGGCUGGUAGUGUGGAUGUUCUUCAUUGUUACUAUGCCCAUGGAGAGGAUAACGAAAACUUUCAGCGACGUUCUUAUUGGAUGCUUGAUGGGAAUUUAGAGCAUAUUGUUCUCGUGCACUAUAGAGAUGUAAAGGAGGGAUACAGAUCCGGUGGAUCUCAUUUGCUAUCAAAUCCAAGUGCUCGGAUUGAUAGCUCUCAAGCCAGUUCUGCCCCUUCCUUUGCACAAACAGCCUCACCUGCUUUUACAGCUCAGACAUCUUACAUAUCAAGCCCAAACAGAAUAGAUUGGAACAGCCAAACAUUAUCCUCAGAGUUUGAGGAUGUGCAUUCUAGGGAUAAUCAAGGAGCCACUUGUCCCUUUGAACCUAUCCAUGGUUCCUUGUCUGGUGGUGCUUCUUUACUUGGAACUGAAGUAGAUGGAUUUUCUAUGUCAUCAAGGAGUCCUGGAUUAUGGCCUACUGGAUCUAAGAUUGGUCAAAGCACCGGGUCUUCUGUAUGUAAUGAAACUCCUAUCUCUAGCAAAAAUGUGGUUCGCAUGCAGGAUCAGAAACUGUGUGUUGGGGAACAUAGCAGACCUGACUUUCUUGCUCAUAAGUUAACAGAUUCCAGCUUAGAUAGUGAUUGUCCGGAUACUAUGACUGUUGAGUGUAGAUUGAUAUCUGAAAUAGAUGAUCAAGCAGUGGCAGAAGUUCCUCAGAGAUCAAUUCAGGCUGAUUUGCUUGGCCAACCGAAAAGUGGUCGCGUAAAUGAUAGUGGAUUAGGAGAGUUAAAGAAACUUGAUAGUUUUGGGAGAUGGAUGGUUAAAGAGAUUGGUGGUGAUUGUGAUGAUUCAUUCAUGGCGUCAGACUCUGGCAAUUACUGCUGGACCCCACUGGACGCUGAGAAUGAAGACAAGGAAGUUUCCAGUUUAUCACACCACAUGCAGUUAGAGAUUGAAUCAUUGGGUCCUUCACUUUCUCAGGAACAGUUAUUUAGCAUUCGUGAUUUUUCACCAGACUGGGGUUAUUCUGGUAUUGAAACAAAGGUUCUAAUUGUUGGUACUUUUUUGGGAAGCAAGAAGUUUUCUAGUGACAGCAAAUGGGGCUGUAUGUUUGGUGAAAUUGAAGUUUCUGCUGAUGUUCUGACAUAUAAUGUUAUCAGAUGUCAAGCCCCUUUACAUACUUCUGGGAGAGUUCCAUUCUACAUCACCUGCCGGAAUAGGCUAGCAUGCAGUGAGGUGAGGGAAUUUGAAUAUCGUGAAACUCCUUCAAAUAUGGCUUCUCUGUUUGUAAGAAGUAUAGAACAGGAGGAACUGCAGUUACAAGUGCGUCUAGCAAAGUUGUUACAUUUGGGCCCUGAGAGAAAAUGGUUGAACUGCUCCAUUGAGGACUGCAACGGAUGUAAGAUCAAAAGGGCAAGGAUAAGAUACAGUUGUAUGCCUUCUGAAGGCAAUUGCUCCAAUUAUAGAGAUGAAUUGAUCAAACAUUUGCUAAUGGACAGGCUUUGUGAGUGGCUGGUCUAUAAAUUUCACGAAGGAGGUUUAGGAUCAAAUAUGGUGGAUGCCGAUGGCCUAGGAGUGAUACAUUUGGCUGCUAGCCUUGGCUAUGACUGGGCCAUGGGCCUCAUAGUUGCUGCCGGUAUCAAUCCCAAUUUCAGGGAUGCACAAGGAAGAACAGCACUUCACUGGGCAUCAUAUUUUGGGAGAGAAGAGACUGUCAUUGCACUUGUUAGACUGGGAGUGGAUCCAACUGCUGUCGAUGAUCCCACCCCAUCAUUUCCUGGAGGAAGAAUUGCAGCCGACUUAGCUUCAACCCAAGGGCAUAAAGGAAUAGCUGGAUAUUUGGCUGAAGCAUUUUUAACUAGGCACCUAUCAUCAUUAAAUAUCAAAGAAAAUGCAGAGGAUAAUGUUAAUGCAACUAUUGCAGCUGAAAAGGCGACUGAAAUCACAGAAACUUUAGUUGCCCUUCAUUCAAAUGAGGUUGUAGGAGAUGAGCGUUCUUUGAAGGGAUCUCUUGCUGCUGUUCGGAAAUCAGCUCUUGCAGCAGCUCUUAUACGAGCAGCCUACCGAUCACAGUCCUCCCAGUAUAGCCAAUUGUCUUAUAGAAGUGACGAGUGUGAAGUUCUACGUGACCUGGCUACCCUUGGUUCUUUCAACAAGGAUCGAAGGAGGAGUCAUUUUGAAGAUUAUUUGCACUUUGCAGCCCUAAAGAUCCAGAAAAAGUUUCGUGGCUGGAAGGGAAGAAAAGAAUUCUUGAAGAAACGCAAUCGAAUAGUAAAAAUUCAGGCUCAUGUGAGAGGACGUCAAGUGCGGAAGCAGUACAAGAAAGUUAUUUGGUCUGUUAGUAUUCUUGAGAAGGCAAUACUUCGUUGGAGACGCAGAGGAUCUGGUUUGCGAGGAUUUUGUGCAGAGAAGACAGUUGGAAAUGCUAAAAAAGAAACUGGCAGAACUGAUGAAUUCGAGUUUCUGAGAAUUAGCCGCGAACAGAAGUCUGCUGGAGUUGAAAAAGCUCUAGAAACAGUCCAGUCAAUGGUUUGUGAUCCUGCAGCAAGAGACCAAUACAUGAGACUAGUCACAAUAUUCGAGAAAUUCAAGUUGAAACUGGUUGAAUCACAUUUUUGGUUUUAAAGAGAAAUCCGCUGGCCUCUGAUUUGCGGUUGAACCGGCUGAUCCGAUCCGGUUCAGUUCUUAAAACAUUGGAUACAAUAAUGAGAUCAAGGAUAAAGAAAGUAGAAUAUUAAAGCAAGAUUAAAGCUGACAAUGGAUAAUAACAGUGGAAGGUUCGCUUGCUAAUUAAUAGCUGAUCAAUGGUCUAACAAAUUAAUGUCUACUGCUAGAAUCACGCCGCUGCAUAGCAAGUACAUAGGGGGUAACCAAUCUGAUAACUACCAUCUAACGCCUUUUCAAGAAUUUUGAGUUUGUGCCAAAAUGUAGGCGUGAACUGGGCGAAAUUGAUUAAAAAGGUUUUGUUGUACAUGUCAUUUUUCUUUAUAAAUACUAGUCAAUACUUAGCUUGUGUAGAGAGGUAUAGCUGAAAAUGAAUCCACCUCAAGAAUCAGAACUGAAUGUCAUUUUUCUUUAUAAAUACUAGUCAAUACUUAGCUUUUUGCUUUA